GUUAAGUAGCACGUAAGUGGCCCCCAGCAUGAAGUGAGAAAGCAUACUGGCAGGACAACUGGCUACUGAUCUAUGUAAGGCUAAUGUUACUGAGUCUCAACCUCUUUUUUUUUUUCAAACUUAAGACUGCAAAAGAUCUGGGUUUGAUUGAAUACCACUGAUGGUAUUCGAUUUUCUGUCUUAGCUAGCAUUGUGCAGUAAAAAUGCAUCCAAACUUAAUCAGUGCACCACAUAGUGUCAUCAUUAUCAUAUUAUCAUAACUGUGAACAUAUUAGUUUUAUCCAUAUACUUUACAACGUGUCAAAGAAGGAGAAAGAUGUAAA